UCGUGGACAACUCCGUUCGGCGAAUCGAAGGAGCACGCGACGGUUCGGUGGGUUUGACCUAGCCUAUGAUAUGAGAAAUGCUCAUAUUUGGCAAAUAUGUUUCGUAAACUUGAAAUUCAUGCAUUUCCUUGUUAAAUGUAUUUAAUAUGAAUUUUAGAAUGCUUAACAUGCAUAUAUUAUGUAUAGUGAAAUUUUAGACCUCUAUGUGGUAGAGUGCAUGCAUGGGAGACUUAGCAUUCUGUUUAUGUUUGGGAACCAUGAUCCUUAUUAUGUAAAUGAACCAUGCUUCAUGCAUUUAACCUAUAUGCCAAUUGUGACAUUAGGAAUGUUAGAAGCCUAGAGAGGGUUUGGGAACUUGGACUAGUUGAGAAUUGGGACAAUGUCAUGAAGAGGCAUUGGGCCCGGGUCAUGGUAAUUAUUAGUAUUGAUGUUUUAUUGGAAACAUAGAACAAGAUUUGGGCUCGAUCUGUUGUGAUGCUUAAGUGUCAUAAAGAGGCACUAAGCAAGUGAGUGUUGGGACAUCACUUAGUGACACGAGGAUUGGAUACUUGAGAAUUGGACUAUGCUUGCUUGCCAUAUGUGCUCAUUCGCACAUGCUUGUGAGGGUCGCUCCCUACAAGCCGGCACUCCGGAGUUAGCCUACGCGACCUAUAUUCGCUCGUGCGGUAUUGAGAAGCCUACGGGGUCGAGUGGGACAGACACAUUCCAAGAGUAGGGAUGUUGGGCUACCACAGGCACUUAGGCGGCACAAGCUGGACCACCUUUGGUAGGUCCUUAAUUGGAAAUGGAAAUCGACACGGUGUUGAAUGUGAACAAUCACUACUAGAUAGGAUUAGUAGUUGGAUUACUUGGACACGCUUAUGAUAUAGCAUUGGUACAUUUAGUAUACUUGCCGGUUUCAUUAUUACAUCGUAGUAUAUUCGGUUGUUUGGAUAGAAUUUACCCUUGUGCAUUGACCUAUUGCAUCGUGAGGUUUACUUGUGGUUUAUGUUGAGACAUAGUAGUAUAGCAUUUCAAUCAUGCUUUCUUUCAGCUGUUCUCAUGUUCGCUAUUUAUUGCAUAUUACUAUAUGUCGUUAUUUACCCUUUUCUUUUGGGGCCUAGUGGUGUAGUGAGCUGAGGUCAGUAAUUGCCCACUGGGAACUAUAAAUUAUAGUUCUCACGCCCUCUUUUUCUCGAUGUUUUUCAGAGCCUUCCACGCAGGGUGAGGCCAGGGAUCGCGGGAAGGGAGUUGCUUCGAGCUAGUUUCCUUCGAGGACGAGUUGCUAGGUGGUCUACCUCUCGAUGUCUUAUUUUAUUUUGCGAGAGGUUGAGGGUUUUACCAGUGUACUAGAGACCACCAUUUUUGUACGAGAGACAGUUAUUGUUCUACUUAUGGUUUCUUUUAUUGUCUAGCCUUAUUUCCAUACUUUGGUGUAGAUGUUAGAACUUUUCUUGCUCUGAUAUCAUUAGUUGUUAGUUAUUACACUUCUUUUAUUUGUUCUAUCUCUUGCUUUACUUCCGCUUUUGUUAUAGACGCCUUAUAUGUGUUGACAUAUGGCGGGUCUGGGCACGCUACCGGGAGGGCCUUCGCCGGUCCCGGGGCGUGACA
rnacentral:lncRNA from 1 species